rnacentral:lncRNA from 1 species
CCCAUCAGGCAUAUUAGGUGUCUCCACUGGUAUAUACCUACUAGGCUUGUUCCAUGUAGGGUUAAAAAAUGAUCCUGGCGUCCUGUUGGUAUGGAGGAUAAUAGUUCGAUGAUGUCGGUGGAGCAUACGCUGUUAUCAUGUUCGAUGGUAUAGCUUGCGAUAGGGUGACAUUAAUUGGCCUUUGAAUAUUGGCAGUGAAAUUGGCCAUUGUGUCUAACAUCCAAGAUGACUAAAUAUUAAUAAAUCUUUUUAAUU